AAUCAUUAUGGCUAACUAGGUAGUUUUCUGCCAAGUCUCACCUGCACCCGCUUAGGCCAAUGCAUUCAGCUGGUGGAUCAGCUGGGGACUGAGCUCAGUCAAGAAACCUGGUUGGCUGAACCUCUCUUUCCAAAUGCAAUUUCAUCCUAUUUUUCUUUAUUGCAUGAUGGUCUCAGGACAGGGUUCUUGGAGGCCAAAGGCAGUGGCUGCGAGGCCUCAUAAGUCCAAGGUUUUGGAAUGCACAUACUGCAUUUGCCACAUUCUAGUGGUCAGAAAAAGUCACAUGGACAGCAUAUAUUGAAGCAGGCAGGGGGAUAAAUUCAGUCUCUUGAUGGAAGGUGUGGCUAUGUCACUUGCAAAGGGGCACGGAUGCAGAAAGGUGUGAUUCAUUGGGGACCUCAUACAGUGAUCUAUCCCAGCUAUGAACAUGUCAUUUAAGAAAAACAGAGAAUAACGGAGGAGAGGUCUCCAUGGAAUGCCAUGCUUUUGGAAAUAAGUUUAAUAUGAAAUUCUAAAGUCAAUAUGAGAAGUAUAUUUUCCAGCAGACACACUAAUAAUCCUGAGAGAAUAAGGCCAUAUUCAGGAAUUUAAAAGGGCACAACAUUUUGCAGAAAUAAUGGAAGGUUGAAGGCUUAACUGCAGUCACAGAAGAGUACAGGGAGGCAGACAAAAUGUUAGAGCCACUCAGCAGCCCAAAGCAGCAGUAGAGGAGCUUGGUGAAGGCUAAGGUAUAGUUGUGGAAUAGAACUAGAGACAUCCUGUUUUCCUGUAUUAUUUCCAGACACUUCAGGGAAAAGAAGACCACAUGGUUUCCUCUCAGCUGAGUAGUUCUUCAGAAAGAGGCAUCAUGAGCAUUCUGUUGGUGCUGUUGCAAAAAAUCUUCAAAGUUCAAACCUUUGGAUUUUGUGGUCCAGAGUUCCAGUCUUUUGUGUUCUUGCCAAUCCUUUAAAUCCCCAUUCAAAUGCAAGGUUGAAAUUAUGUUUUCCUCUACUAUAAUUGCAUGACCUUUUUUUUUUUUUUUGCCAUGAUAACAUUAUUUUAAAAUAGUUUUUAUUCUGUUUGACAUAUACACAUAGGCAAAGACUACUUAUUUCUUUGUAGCAUCUUCUAUCAUAGCACCACAUACAUAUCUGGUGCUCAGUAAAGGUUGUUGUUGUUUUUUUUUUCCAAUUAAUUAGUUCUAGGUUGCCUCUAUUGUCUCAGUUUCAUCAGCAAAAUUGAGGUAGCUGUCCUGCAUCUCACAGGAUGCUAAUAAGUAUAAAAUAAGAUAAAAGCUCUAAGAGUGGAAUGCAAAAGAGUGAAAUGCAAAGUUCAACACAGAACAUGUAACUUGAAGUUGUAUGAAACUUUCCCUGUUAUACAAAACAUAACUAGGGUCCAAAAAUGAGGAUGGAGCCCCCAUAUACUAAAUAAGCAGAACUGGCCCCUCACUAACCACAAUUACCCAAAUCCAUAUAAACAGGAGAAUAGAAAAGAGGAAAAUGGGAAUUAUUGGAGUCAUGAUUUUUGGCUUAGGAGGUACUGCUAUGGCUUGCCCCUGCCCCUCCCCAAAAAGCCAAGUGAGACAGACUCUAAGGGAGUCACUGGCAGUCUGGGGGUAUCUGCAAAAAAGGAAAAUCAGCACCUCACUUUCUAGUUGUACAUCAGAUUAGGUCCUAGACUAGUCAGUCUUCUCAAAGUCUAUGUGAACAGGAGAAAAACAACUUGAGAAUGAUGGCAGGGCACACAGAGAGGCCUGUGGUGCAGCUCAGCUAUCAAUUCUGCUUUGAUGAGAGCAUAUAAGUUUCCGUUAGGCAAAGUGAGCACCACAAAAAAUACCUGCACUUAUGCCAUCAUGCUGACACCAACACAGAAAGCUAACUCGUUGGUGAAAUAACCAGCGACAAGAGUCCAUGGAAUAUAUUAGUAAAUGCAGGGCCUUGUAGGGUUAGAUGAGGUGAAGCAGGACAGUGUGGUUUGGGAAGGCUUUGAAAGGACUUAUAUUUGUAUCUCCUCUAGAAAUCCAGUAUUUCAGUGCCUGCCAUUAAGAGAGCAUUGUCAAUGGACAGUCAUUAUUGGCCCAACAAUUAGUGUAAAACACAGGAAAGAAGACUUCAGUAAUGGUCCAAUGAAUCUUUUGGAUUCCUCCUUGUGUCCGCUCACUGGAAAAGCUAGAAUAUACAAGAGGGAAGAAGAAGCUGAGAAGCAGAGGCAAACUAUUUUGUCCCCAAGGGUGGAUACUGAUGUACUGACAAGCAACUAUCAUCUUUAGCAGACUCUGAGAUGAUUAUCUGCUUUUAUUUGUCACUGAUUUUACUUUCCACAGGGUAUCAAGAUGAGGAAACUACCUAUUAUCUGCUUCAAAUCAUGCAUCACACUGAAUCUUUUGGUGGCAAAGGUAGCAUGGAGGUGGCACAUAGCAUCUGUGGUACAGGUAGGAGAUUGCUAAUCCUUGUUCAAGAUGAUGUCAAUAAGCAAAUAGCCAA